rnacentral:lncRNA from 1 species
AUGAGGGACCCACUCCCAGGACGGUUUUGGGAUCCCACUCCCAGCUGUAUUUUGGGGUCCCACUCCCAGCCUGGUUUUGGGGUCCCACCCCAGCCCGGUUUGGGGGUCCCACUCCCAGCCUGGUUUUGGGAUCCCAUCCCUGGCCCAGUUUUGGGGUUCCACUCCCAGCCUGGUUUUGGGAUGAGGGACCCACUCCCAGCUGUGUUUUGGGAUCCCACCCCCAGCCCAGUUUCGGGCUGGGGGUCCCACCCCCAGCCUGAUUUUAGGGUGGAGGUCCCACUCCCAGCCUGGUUUUGGGGUCCCACUCCCAGCUGGCUUUUGGGGUCCCAACCCACAGCCCAGUUUUGGGAUGAGGGACCCACUCCCAGCCUGGUUUUGAGGUCCCAUCCCAGCCCGGUUUUGGGAUCCCAUCCCGGCCCAGUUUUGGGGUCCCGCCCCAGCCCGGUUUCGGGGUCCCAUCCCAGCCCGGUUUCGGGGUCCCAGCCCGGUUUUGGGGGUCCCAGCCCGGUUUGGGGGUCCCGUACCUGCUCGUUGACCGUCAGCAGGGCCUCCUGGGGCUGCCCCGGGCACGGCUCCAUGGUGGCCUGGCACAGGUGGGGUGUCACACCUGCCACAUGCUGCCAGAGGGGACAAGGAGGGGCUGUCACCAGCAGGGCUGGGGUCCUCUCACCCCCCUCAGCCCCUCUGAAACCCCAAAACCAGGGAUGGGCAGGUGA